UAGGGAAUCUUCCACAAUGGACGCAAGUCUGAUGGAGCAACGCCGCGUGAGUGAAGAAGGUUUUCGGAUCGUAAAGCUCUGUUGUUGGUGAAGAAGGAUAGAGGCAGUAACUGGUCUUUAUUUGACGGUAAUCAACCAGAAAGUCACGGCUAACUACGUGCCAGCAGCCGCGGUAAUACGUAGGUGGCAAGCGUUGUCCGGACUUAUUGGGCGUAAAGCGAGCGCAGGCGGAAUGAUAAGUCUGAUGUGAAAGCCCACGGCUCAACCGUGGAACUGCAUCGGAAACUGUCAUUCUUGAGUGCAGAAGAGGAGAGUGGAACUCCAUGUGUAGCGGUGGAAUGCGUAGAUAUAUGGAAGAACACCAGUGGCGAAGGCGGCUCUCUGGUCUGCAACUGACGCUGAGGCUCGAAAGCAUGGGUAGCGAACAGGAUUAGAUACCCUGGUAGUCCAUGCCGUAAACGAUGAGCGCUAGGUGUUGGGGACUUUCCGGUUCUCAGUGCCGCAGCAAACGCAUUAAGCGCUCCGCCUGGGGAGUACGACCGCAAGGUUGAAAC
rnacentral:rRNA from 1 species